GAGUUAACAAGUUUGAAAGCAUAAUCGCCUUUAUUUUGCGAUGUUACCAAUCGAUAUACCAAAGAAAAAUAUGAAAACAAAAGUAAAAGGUACAAGUUGACGUUUCUUCUCAUCAUUAUCAUCUGCAGCAAUCGCGGUAGUUAUCUCACGAGUCAUUCUCCCCUAUCGAUAGCUUGCUCCGAUUCCAUUCAAGUCAUUGUGAAGAUUUGCCCGAGCAAUCGAGCUUGGAGCCUAGUGUGUUGGCUGACUUUGAAGAUGUACAUUCACGUAUGUGUGAGUUUGUGUGUCUUAUGGACUUCAUCUUAUUCGUGUUGGAGGCCUCUGGAGUUGGACCACAUUUAUAACCAAAAUUGUCGCAAGAAGUAUUUCGUUUUGUUGGCUGCAAAGAAUGGACGAAUUAGUCGGCCGCAAUAUCAUUUAUUCCGUAAUGAAAAAACAUUCAGACUGGAUUUCAACUAGCAUCGUUAGCGCAAUAGUGGCUAUUUCGCAUUUACGAUUGUAAAUGCAACCGUACCAACCACAUAAACCACCCAACGUUUCCUCCUCCGGUUCAACUUGCUCAUUCAACCCACAUGCUGUGAUUUCCUGUUGAACCUACACCAAUCAGAGCGACAUGUCACUACUAGGCAUGAUUGGUAGUGGUAGUACCAGUAGGUCCAUAGGUAUACACCUGAGAGGUAUACCAAGGAGUUACCAGCACUGGGUAUACACGCUGGUGGAGGGAAUGCCAUGGGAUUUGGACCAGCAUAGUUUCUUCCAACAUGUCCAAGCACAUGGGUGACCAGGGGAAAGCCAGCUGUAGAUUCGGGUUGACCUGUCACCCCCUGGAGACAGAUGACAAGUUAUGGGCCGGACGUUUCCAAGGCAACGCCCACUAUGGUAUGCGGAAACCUCAUCGACAUCCAUUUUCCCCCUGUCUGUGUUUAGACUCCCAUUGACAGCCGCUUGUGCUUAUUUUCACUUGCUUUGGAUCUUGGCUGCAAGGGAGAAACUCCAAAUAUCACCUAGGUGAA